AAAUAAGAAGCAAAAUUUGCAUUUAAUUUCGACUUAAAACUAAGAGUUAUAUUACUCCUUAUUUA
rnacentral:tRNA from 1 species